rfam:Anopheles atroparvus strain EBRO unplaced genomic scaffold supercont1.1, whole genome shotgun sequence.
CUUGUGCGACAAACUCCGUCCAGCGGGUGUCCUAUUUGAAGUAUCAUCACUGGGCAAAGUUUGUCGCAUAAC